rnacentral:rRNA from 1 species
GAUGAACGCUGGCGGCGUGCCUAAUACAUGCAAGUCGAGCGAACGGACGAGAAGCUUGCUUCUCUGAUGUUAGCGGCGGACGGGUGCGUAACACGUGGAUAACCUACCUCUAAGACUGGGAUAACUUCGGGAAACCGGAGCUAAUACCGGAUAAUAUUUUGCACCGCAUGGUUCAAACGUGAAAGACGGUCUUGCUGUCACUUAUAGCUUGAUCCGCGCUGCAUUAGCUAGUUGGUAAGGUAACGGCUUACCAAGGCAACGAUGCAUAGCCGACCUGAGAGGGUGAUCGGCCACACUGGAAGUGAGACACGGUCGAGACUCCGACGGGAGGAAGCAGUAGGGAAUCUUACGCAAGGGGCGAAAGCCUGACGGAGCAACGCCGCGUGAGUGAUGAAGGUCUUCGGAUCGUAAAACUCUGUAAGUAGGGAAGAACAUAUGUGUAAGUAACUGUGCACAUCUUGACGGUACCGAAUCAGAAAGCCACGGCUAACUACGUG